rnacentral:lncRNA from 1 species
GUUGUGAUUUAAAAAUUCAAAUAUGAAUUUAAAGUUUCAAAAUUUAAAUUUAAUGUUAAAUUUAUACUUUGAAUCUAAAAUAAAAAUAAAAUUUAGAAGUUUGAGUUCAAAAUCAGAAUCAGCUUUGGAGAAGCAGCUUUUUUCUGUUUCUGAUUCUGGAGACUUCAAAAUCAGUUUUUUGAUUCUAAAAAGUAGAAUCAGAUUUUCAGAAUGUCAUUCCCAAACGCUUUACUGAGCUCAAAAGUGAUUUUGAGCUUAGAAUCACUUUUAAAUAACUAGGCAAAACACCCCCUUACUAGAGGGUAAGAGAUUUUUUUUUAAAAUCAU